AUGCUAGACUUUCACAUGUGCUCUUUCUAUACCUUACAGUUCUGGUUGGGAAAUGUUUCAAUAUCAGAGAAGUUUGAGCAGAAUUGCCCAUUUCAGUUCUUCAAGGAAAUACUAGAGACAGUGGCUUUGAACCUGAGACAAAGAUCUAUUAACCAUUCACCUGGAACAAAUGUUCUUCCACUGCACAGCAGGGUCCACUCUUCCCAGUGUUUCAGAUUCAGGUGAAGACAACUAUAUGAAAGGUAGGAACAAGAUUGUUCUUUCUCAGCAAUGUAAAGCAAAACAUAAAUGGAAUACUUUUAGACAGUUGUGCUUUAAAGGGGAAAAAAAAAUCCUGAUAUAGAAAACCACAAAAACUAUUUUGGAUUUUCAUCUUUGCCACAGUUUCCACAGUUUCUACAGGCAUGUUGGCAUUAUUGCAGACUGUUCUGUUCUGUAGCUCAACAAAAAUUUGAAUGCUGUUAAUUCCCUGUCCCCACUCUCCUCCCUCCCCACUAAUAAGAACUUCCAAAUCCCAAACUAUUUCAUUCUUAUUAUUCCAUCUAGAAAACCAUAUUAUUUGGAGGCAGUAAGUCCAAACAAACAAACAAAAAAAGGCUUCCUACCUGAUUGUGGAACACUUUUGCCAUAUAUUUCUUCCUUUGACAAGUACAUGCAUAUAUACAGUGAUUUAUCCACCUUCUCUUGUGUAUGAUGGAUAACUGGGGAUGAUGAAGCAUCCCACUCUAAAGCUUACAACUUUUGUGUAAUUUGUAAGUCCCUAAUGUGGGCUCACUUAGCAGGAUUUCUAGCAGGAUUUCUUUUGAUUCCUACUAUUUCCUGGAGUGUGGGAGUAGUGCCCCUAAUCUCUGCACACCUCUGCAUCACUCCAUGAUGCAGUGGGAUGUACCCUUCUGUUAGAACUUGACUGGCAGCAACACCAAGGUCAGCUUCAAUCUGUAGAAGUCACUGCUAAAGAUACUGGUGGGAGCUCACCCUCACCAUCCGAAAAUCUGCAGAAACUAAAUACAUUGUAGGAAAAACAGAUGAACUUUUUUUGUCUCUUGAAAAAGAUUAAUGAUAUGGUUUAAAAACAAAACCAAAAAUAAAUUUAUCAA
rnacentral:lncRNA from 1 species